AAAAGUGUUGCAAAUCAUUGGUUGAGUUAAUAGGGUUUUAAACAGGAGCAGUUUGUACCAUCUGCCAUGUUUAGUUAUCAAGUUAUAACUUAACGUGUGUCAUAUGUCAUAAACUCCAAAGGACCCUGGUCGACCUUUACUUUGGAGACCAAACAUUCAG